UACGUAGGGGGCAAGCGUUGUCCGGAAUCAUUGGGCGUAAAGAGCGCGUAGGCGGCCCAGUCAGUCCGCUCUGAAAGUCAGGGGCUCAACCCCUGAAUGCGGGUGGAUACUGCUGGGCUAGGGUCCGGAAGAGGCGAGUGGAAUUCCUGGUGUAGCGGUGAAAUGCGCAGAUAUCAGGAGGAACACCGGUGGCGAAGGCGGGUCUCUGGGCCGUAACUGACGCUGAGGAGCGAAAGCGUGGGGAGCGAACAGG
rnacentral:rRNA from 1 species